rnacentral:sRNA from 1 species
UGUGUGUGUGUGUGCGAGCGUGGGGGCGUGACAAUGUAUGUGUGCGUUUCUGUGUGUGCUUCUAUGUUUGCUUGUGUGCGGGUUUGCGGUCAGUGGCAACAUGAUUUUGUGUUUUUUGUCAAAGAACUUUGUCGGCCAGGACGGCAGGCAAGUACCUACGCAAAUUUAAUGCAUUCAAUUAUUACCACCUGUAAAACGUGCACUAAGAAAAAGUAAGGAAAACUAAAUUAAAAUCGCAAAUACUUUGGGCCAUAACUUUCAAGUGAUUCCCUAUGUUGUAUUACACAAUUAGGAAUCAUUUGUUUCCGCUUAAGCCAUCAAAUACGUACAUACACUUAAGCUGUAUUUACAUAUAGAUAAUUACAUGUAUUUUCCACCUCAAAUUAAUUCACUGGAAAACCAGAAAAUAUGUUGUGUUUUCCCUGAGUUCUACUCUGUUUCACUCUAUGCCAAAACAGAUUAUUUUUACGCCUCGCCAAUUGGGCACUCGAAGCCACUCCCACUGCACAAUCAAUCAAACAUAAUUCAUUCAAUCGAAUUUUAAAUGAUGAUCAUUAAAGCAUAAUCAACUUUUGCAAUUUAGUCCGAGACUAAGUGGAUUACAGCGAUGUUAAUUGGCCUGGAAAAAGGCCAGCGAUUUGUGGGGUAUUUGAAGUGCAUUUAGCUGAUUUACUCGGACAAGCCAAGCGAACCAUACGGACAGACUCAUAGUUCUUUAUUGUUAAUCCCUGGCAAUCUACCGCUUAAAAACUCUCAUCCUCUAGCUAUGCAUUUAUAAUAAACGUGCGAGUACGUUUCGUAUUCGGAGUCCGUCAGCCACAUAUCAAGCGUAUCCAAAUCCAUUCCCCUGUCACAUUUUAAUUGCCCUGGCGCUGUCAGCGCUCCUCUCCGCCGAUAUGGGCUGGGCCCCACUCAGAGCAGCGUGCAGCCAUUAAUUUAGUUAGUCCCAGUAUCCACGAGCUGUGGCCCGCUUGCCCCAUUCUACCACGCCGCCGGAAUGUCAUGCAACAUGUUAAAUAACAAGUGAUUUACAUUUUUUUUUUCAUGCAUUACAUACAUUCUUUCUGGCCAGCAUUCCGUGCACGUGCUGGCCAUGAUUGUAAUGCAAUUAAAUGAAUAAUUAAAUAUAAUAUGCCGCCGGACACAUUUGUCCAGCAAUGUUCGAAAUCAGAAACGUAAUGGUUUUGCGGAACAAUUUGCGAGUAUCCACAUAUAAAAUCGAUAUGUACAUUUAUGAACGAACUAUCUCUGGAAAAGGCCACCCAUCGUUCAGAGAUAUUUUUAAUAUACUUUUGUAAAGCAACCCCAGAAAUGUAUGAUUUUUGGCAUAGAUUGUGGAUCCACAGAUGGAAUACGAGAGUAUGUCAAAGAGUAUUACAAAUAUUAAAUGCCUUGUGGGUGGGAUAGGGGGAUGCCUGGCCUUUUCCUUUGUACUUCUCUGCUUUUUGUGUAGCUUUGUGAACUGUUUGUUGUUUCUUUGUGAUACUUAAAACUAGACAUUUUUACUAUACGCAUCCUGGCAGAGGCAACCACCAAUGGCAGCCUGACGAGCUCCAAAUUGAAGUCCUUAAACAGUUUCAAGUCCACCCAAUAUUGGCCACAAAUGCGGUCCUCCAGAUGGAUCAUCGCGCAGUGGCUGUUCUUGUAGAAAUCAUCUGGUGGAACAUCUCCUUGUCCUCUUUGCCCCAGUCCCACACAUCAAAUCGAAUGGGUCCGCUGGUGGUGCUGAAGAUGAAGUACUUGUCCGCAGGGACACACUCGCUCUUAAACUCUCCAAUUAAAUGGCCUCUCAAAAUGGCCACAGCGUUUCUCGCAAAUAAUGCACAUCCAUUGUUACUAUAUAUUAAUUUUUCUACGCUUAUUUUAUAGCGUUGUACAACAACAAAUACUAGAGAUGUCAGUGUUGGUGAGGCGCAGAAAUCAGCUGGCAGUGCCGAUAUAUUUUUUUACGUGUUUUUGAAACAAUCAGAAAUGAAACGCUCCCUCCAAUUAUCUUUUACCAAAGAUUAAAUAAAUGUUGUUCUAUAAAA